UCACAGACUUCCUGAAUAUACGUUACUUACUAAACUCUAUGACACAGACAAAACAUUGGUAAUUUGGUAUACUUGUCUGUAUUAUAACCUUAAAAUAUCUCAAGACAUCAUUCAGGGUUUAAAACCACAAAAAAAUCCAAAAUGUUUCGUCUUCCUUAUGGGGAAAGAGUGGAUCCCAUGGAGGAGAAACGCCAGGCACGUGAAAACACUAUCAGCAGCGUAAUUACAUUUGCCGUGCUUUGUGCUGCCAUCAGAGUAGCUCCCUUGAUACUGGAGCACAGUGGUCUUCAGUCUUAGGUGUUCACACAGCUUCAAGUAUUCCGUGGCAACAAUGGGAGGACAAUCCUUAUUUCUGUCUGGACACAUCAUUUUGCAUUAUGGCAAAUUAGUCUUUUAAUACAUAAUUUGGUUCAUUUAAUAAAGCUUUAAAUACAA